AGGGGACCGUGGAUCUCCUGAAAGAGGAAGAGACAAAGAAAAACAGACAUCAGAAUCAGAUGGGUGAACCCUUAAAAACAACAGUGUGUUCGAAUAUCGGCACGACAAAACACACAAAACCAGCAGAGGAAAGAGCACAAUUUCCAGCCUUUUAUCGAAGCUUACGUUGACCUAAAGAGAGUCUCCGCUCGGCUCUGAUUGCUGCAUUCAGAGAGCAGACGGACUGUUAAUCAAGCCGACUGCAAACACCUGAGUGUGUUUGUGCCGGCCCUGAUGAAGGGCUUCUGUUGGACAAGGUAAUGUUGCUCUAUAGAAAUUAAUUUACCACCUGGUUUCUGUACAGUGUGCAGCUCUUUUUGGCUAUUUUUACACUCAACAACCCAACAGUCCACCCGAGUGAAAUCAGCUCCACGUCGACCGCUUUGACCGCAACAAUCUCCACGUCUGGAGCUGUAAGCUGAGGGAGGGGAAGAGGCAGAGUCAUUUGGAGGAAGAUGUAUGUAAACCCAUUUCCAAACAAAUGGGCCUGACUGCACGGCAACAGGGAGAGGUGCCAUAAGCGUCCGGCGUGCAUAAUGCCCGCAUGAAUCAAGACUUCCCCGGCUGCCGAACGUGACCACACAGGCAUCGCGUAUGAAUAGCACAUGUCACCCGCGGCCGCAUAUCAUCAACAAACAGUGGGGCGACCCCAACAGCAAAAAGGCCCCCGUUCGGAAGUUAGAGCCACUGAUCAUUAUUAUAGACGCCUCGGAGCGGCUGCUAGCUAGCCACGCUCAGUCAGUCGUACAUGUUUAUUCAGCAUGUGUGAUGGAGACGCUGUAUAAUACAUGCAAAACCUACACAACACAGCGCAUGGGGUCUUAAAGUGCGGCCCGGGGUCAAACAGGGGCCCCGUGGAGGAUUUUAAAGGACCAUACGAAUAAGCUUGAGAGUGUUUAUCCCCUUUACAAAUUCACAUACUUCAGUUUUUUACGUGUAUUUUCUAAAAGUGGCAAGCAGCCAUUGAUUUCUAUUCAUUUUUAUUUAAUAUGAAGGCCACAUUUGUUUCAAAGCGCACUUUUGAAACAGAAAUAUUGCAAGUCAUGCAAGUUCUCAAUGCCUCUCCCCUACUUUUUAAUGCAGCCGUUGAUUUCCAUUCAUUUCUUUGCUCUCUGAAGAGCAAUUAGUAAAACUCAGUUAGCACUCUGUCACAGUGAUCAUUUUCUUGACUUUGCACAGGCAAAAAACAGCAAAAUUAUCCUAAAGUGUUUAUAAAACAUGAUGUUAACAUGGUGUUAACGCAUGCAAAAACUAAAAAUGUCAUAAAACAGUCGUCUGUUUUGAGGAUAAAACAAUGUUUCUCCAUCAUUUGCAGGCAGCCAUUGAUUUCCAUUCAUUUCUGUGUUUUAUGAGUUUACGUCUCUUUACGUUCACGUCCUUUACGUCCUCCUCCGUCCUGCCUGCACCGGUCCCCUCAGAGCUCUAGAUUUUCUGCUCAUUUGCUGAGCAUCACGCAUCAUCAGACGGACGAACAGUUUGUGCGUCACACCUGCACCUCGACACCCGUGUGUACUGUACA